GGAAGUUAGGGUACUGCUGCAAAUUCCCAUCGAAAUGAGAUACCAGGCUGCCUCCUCUUUUCCCCAGCCCAAUCCCCUCUGAUUUGGGUCCCGGUUGCCCCUGCUUAGCAAGCACUUCCAACCUGGCUUGGAGAUCCCUGCAGGCGGCAGCCGCUUCCUCUUCCCUUUUCCUGGAUGCGAGUACCUCCGCGUUGAGUUGUGUCACUGCAUUUUGCAGGGCUGCUAGUUGCUGUUCUGUAGUCAUCUUGCCUGACUUUUGUGAGCUCGCGAAGCACCAAUCUUCUUCCCUCGCUGCGUCCACUCACGUUACGAGGUUUUUGGUGCAAAACUUUUGGAGAUGGAGCUUACUGUCAGAGCUGGCUCCAGGUCCCAGCUCACAGAGGACCAACGCUAGCCGGCAGUAAUGUACAAAAGUCUUUAUUGAAGUACAGUUUCCAUUUUCAAGCCGGAGCGCCCCAGCUCUACGUCUAGGGGUUAGAUCGGCGAAGCUCCAUCUGAGUCUCCGCCCCCUGUACACCAGUUUAAGAUUCUAGCCUUACUCCACCUCUUACGUCUCUCCUUUCUCCUCUGGGUCCUGCUACCCCCCGGGGUCCCUUCCUUCCUGGAUUCUUCUGACGCUGACCCCCUGACUCCUCCCCCUCUUUUCGGCGGGCUUUGGGACCUGGCUCCCUAUCCGGGCUGCCAACUGCGCCGCCCUCCUGUACAUUUGAACUUGGCGCGCGCGCCCAGCCUUCAACCUUCCUCUCGACCGUUUCCUCGCUCCCCGAUGGAGGCGUGGCCAAUCCUGACUCAUGUCCUCCCACUGGCAGUGCGCCGCCUGAUCCCGAUGCCUGGGACUCCUCCCCCCUACUGCACUCUGGUGUGGACGCUGGUCCUGAUUUCCAACUGCUGCUCUCUGAGUCCCCUCUGGCCCCUUCUUCCUGGGGUGUCCCCCUCGGCACCCCCUUGCUCUGACCAAGGGAGCCCCUUUCUGUGAAUCUUCCGAUUCGCUGGAAAGACUCAGAGACCUCGGACCGCUGUCAUCGCUAACAUUUCCUUCGGACUCCUCCCCCUCGCUCUCUAUUUCCUCCCUUUCCUGUGCCUCUGCUCCUGAACCCCUGACA